AGCUCCAAUAGCGUAUAUUAAAGUUGCUGCAGUUAAAAAGCUCGUAGUUGCAUUUCCGAGGCAAGGGAUUAGUCCGACCUUUGGUGGGUAUUUAAUCCUCUUGCCUCGUCCUUGAGUGGUGCUUCUUGGUAUUAAGUUAUCGAGGAGAUAGCCGCUCAUCGUUUACUGUGAGAAAAUUAGAGUGUUCAAAGCAGGCUUAUGCCGUUGAAUAUAUUAGCAUGGAAUAAUAAGAUAGGACCUCGGUACUAUUUUGUUGGUUUGAGAACCAAGGUAAUGAUGAAUAGGGACAGUUGGGGGUAUUCGUAUUCAGUUGUCAGAGGUGAAAUUCUUAGAUUUAUUGAAGACUAACUUAUGCGAAAGCAUUUGCCAAGGAUGUUUUCA
rnacentral:rRNA from 1 species